GCCACCUCCCACCUCUGCAGGAGACCUUCCAACCCUAGCAGUAUUUUUUUCCCAACAGCUUCCAGGGAAACUGAGGACUAUGUUGCCAGUUGCAGCAGGAUGGAGAAUCUGUGCAGGCUCUUUACACCCUCUAUCUUGUAGAUAGAGGAGAGAGGUCAAGAGAAGAGAGGUCAAGGGAUUUACACUACUCAGCUACUUCAGUUUUUGUUCAGUGGUAACUCUUCAGAGACAUAUCUAGCAUCUCAAAUCAUCUCUAAGUCUGGACUUAGAUGGCAUAAAGAAGAGCCCUCUGGGGGAGGCUGAUGACUUCAUACUUAAAAUCUAUUCUCCUGGCAACGUUGGAAACUCAGAUAUGUUCCAGGCAAAAUUUCACUCCUAAGAAGUCAUAAUUCCAAUCUUAAAUUCUCAGAAUUUCUAAAGCAGAAUAAUUUUAUACAAAUCUCCUUUCUGCAGAAUCUCUAUUUUUGGUUUCUUCACCAUACUGACUUCUUAAUCAAAGCCUUUCUCCUGUCAUACAAAUUUGCCUAGGAAGUGCUCAGUUCUAAAGGAAACCUUUUCAGUAUAUAUUGGUCAGGAUGAGCUAGUCUAUGCUACAGCAACAAAUUACCCCUCAAUCUCAUUUUAUAACACACUGAAAGUUUGUUUAUAGCUUACAUCAGUGUGGGUUGGUCAACUCUCUUCUAAAAGGUAGUUCAGGGACUCUCAUUAGGUACUCCAUUAGGAAGAUAUGAACCCUGUAGUUGCCAUGAGGAGAGAGUUAGAAUUAAUUGAAUAAAAGGUCAGAUCUACAAGUGAUAUAAAUCAUUUCUGCCUAUAUUCCAUAGCCGCAGCUUAACUGCAGGGGAGACUAAAAAAUAUAGCUCUCAAGUAAGUCCAGAAAGAGAAAAUUAUGUGGUAUUGUCACUGCUACACACUAUAAUCCUUAGUCCCAAGAAGCAAACAUGGAAUUUCAUAACCACAAACUCUAUGAGACAUAUAAUUGAAUUUUUUCUAACUCUGAAAAGGUUUGGAAAUUGAUUUCCCAAUGAUUUUCCUGUAGCCUAGCAAGAUAGGAAAAGCAAUGUAUUGAUUCAUACAUAUAUACCUACCUACCCUUAUUCAUCCACCCAUAUAUUCAUUCAACAAUAUUUCUUUUAUUCAAGCAAAAAACAUAUCUGAUUUUUUCCAUGUAAUAGUGCAUCUUAAAGAUUGUUCCAUAUCUAUAUUUAUAUAGAUAGAUACAUACAUAGUACAGAACUAUCUCAAUCAUUUUAAUAGUUAUAGCUAUUCACUAUACUUCCCUAUUAAAAGACAGGUUGUUUCCAGAGAACACACUUAAUACAUCUUUGAAUAUAUAUGCAAUUAUGUAUAGAUAAUUCAGAUUCCUAGAGGCAAAGAGAACUGUUGGGUUCACAAGCCAAAAAUUAAUGUUAGUACAUAGUUGUGACCAUUAACUCAGCCAAGAUGACUGGUAUAUAUUUUCUAACUGGUUUUGUUCUGUCCUAAUUGUUUAACUUUAAUCAUCUUUUUGUAUAUGUGUUUUAUUAUUAUAAUAAGAACCUAUUAUGUAGCUUAGCAGCUCAUAGCAAUUGUCAGGUUUAGAAGUAGAAAUAAAAACAAAAGCUGUAAGGAAAAAGAGAAUGAUAGAGAAGGGAAAAAAAUCAGUUUAAAAAGUGAAAAAGAAAGGAAGGGAAGGAUGAAAUAAGGGGAGGAAAAGAAAAAAAUACAGAUGGACGGGCAGACAUUCAGAGAGGAAGGCAGGAAGGAGCCUUUGGAAAAUUAAAUGAUGCUUUCAAAUUAUGUUUCCAAAGCCAGAUUAACAUUGAAACGAAGAGCCAAGAAAACACAAAAAUAGAAAACUAUGGACCACUCUCAUUUGGGAAAUUACCCCUAAAGUCCUAAAUGAAACACUGGCAAAUAAAAUACAGAAAUAUAUUAAAGUAUAAUAUUUCAUAACCUAGUGGGAUUCAUGCCACAAUAAAUCCAAUAUCUAGAUUUUCUAAAUACCUCAGUCUCCCCAAUACCUAGAACAGAGCUUUGCACUUUGAGUAAAUAUGUACUAAGUUGAUGAAUAAAUGUAUGAAUAGUGAAAAUCUUUUAAUAUAAUUCAUCAUAUUAAUAGAUUCAAGGAGAAAAAUUAUGUGAUCAUCUCUAGAGAUGCCAAAGAGGCACUAAUAAAAUUCAGCAUAUAUUCCUGAUUAAAAAAAUAUCGAUAAAAUAAGAUUGAGAUCCUGCCUUAAUAUUGUUUUAGAGAGACAGAUUGAGAAGCAACUAAAAAUUCGUAAGUAGCAAUAACAAAAUUCAUCAAGGUGGUCCUGCCACAUUACUGUAUAAAUCAAUGGUUUUUAAAUAUACAAAUAAUAACUACUUGAAAAUAUAAUAGAAGAGAAUAUCCAAUUUAUAAUAGUAAUAAAAAGAUACGAUAGUUAAGAAUACCCUUAACAGAUAAUGUGAAAGAUUUAUAAAAUUGAAAAUUUUUAAUUUUACUAAAGGACAUUUUAAAAUGUUUACAAAUAGAAAUAUAUAUCCUGUUUUUCAAUAGAAAAGCCUUCAAUAAUAUUCUAUCAUUUUUAAGCCACCUAAAAAAUUAUAUAUAUAUAUACUAUAUUUAUAUACUUAUAUAUAUCAAUACUUAGUGGCAAUGGUGGUAGAAAAGGGGCUUUGUGGGAGACUACAGUGUUUCUAACAUGCAUUGAAAAGGUAACAAGACUAACCCAAGAUACUGAAAAAGAAUAACAAGUAAAUUAUAGCUGUAUCAGAUAUUGAAACAUACUAUCCAAUUCCUACUGCAUCAUAACAACUCCAAUACUUAGCAGUGUAAGACAACCAUUUCAUGAUAUUCCUGAAAUCCGUGGGUCAGGAAUGCAGGGCACAAUGAUGGUGUGUUGCUUCUAGAAACAUUAGAAUAACUGGGAGUGACUCAGCAUUUGGGGGUUGGAAUCAUAACAGCUUUACUCACAUGUCUGCUGCCUGGGCUAAGAUAACUUGUAGAUACAGCUCGGCUAGAGCACCUACACAUGUUCUCUUCAUGAAGCCAGGCCAGAACAUUCCUAGAAAAAGCCACCUAAAACACUGGUUUGAUGAUUUGCCUGUGAGAGGAGCAAGUUAGUUGGCAGAGGUGGGAACAGUAGGAGAAAAGGGAGGAAAUGAAGAAAGGGAGAGUCCAAAGUAUGAAGGAGACUCACCAUGUUUACAUAUUAACUUUUAUUUUUUUAACUAGUUAAUAUAUCAAAAAAAAAAUUAGCCUAAGUAAAAUUUUACAUCUAUUUAUGAUACACUUGAUAAAUUAACUGAAACUUCAAAUUUCUUUAUGUUCUGCUAGAAUUUUUUCAGGAUACAAUGGUAAAAAAAAUAUUUUUUCAAGAUUAGAAGCUCUGUUGUUUUUUUAAUGGGAAAAUAAUUAUUUGGUUUUUUGAAGGAUGAAUGUAAGUUCUAACGCACAGAGCAAAAAGUUGUAUGCAUAUUAUUAGGGUGAAGUCAAAGGAAGUUCGUACCAUCACUUCAAAAUAUUCAUGCUUAUAACAAAAUACACGCCAUGCUUUUUUCUUAAUUUAAUAAAAAUGAAAGCAGGGGCUUCCCUGGUGGCGCAGUGGUUGAGUCCGCCUGCCAAUGCAAGGGACACGGG